rnacentral:lncRNA from 1 species
GCUCGCACUACGUUGACCAUAAUCAAGGCCAUCAAUCACUUCUCUAAUGUAUUCUUCCUGGCUCCUGCCACAUCCAUAUUUACCAGAUCUAUCAAAAUCUGCCUUUUGUUUCCUUUUUCCCCUCAGUGGCUUGAAGAAAACAAAACCGAAGCCAGCCAAAAUCUAAAAAUUUGUAAGAUGUAUUAUUCACUCCAUACAAUCAGAUCACUCCGAGAGAGCUGUUCCAGUCUCCUGGCUGAAGAUCCCAGGGAAGAGACUGUAUGAAGAAAAUAAAACUUGGAACAGCACAGCA